rnacentral:tRNA from 1 species
UCUAUAGCUCAGUUGGUAGAGCACCGCCUUGGUAAGGCGGAGGUCGUGAGUUCAAUUCUCAUUG